UACGGAGGGGGCAAGCGUUGUUCGGAAUUACUGGGCGUAAAGGGCUCGUAGGUGGCCAACUAAGUCGGAUGUGAAAUCCCCAGGCUCAACUUGGGAACUGCAUCCGAUACUGGAUGGCUUGAAUCCGGGAGAGGGAUGCAGAAUUCCAGGUGUAGCGGUGAAAUGCGUAGAUAUCUGGAGGAAUACCGGUGGCGAAGGCGGCAUCCUGGACCGGCAUUGACACUGAUGAGCGAAAGCCAGGGGAGCAAGCGGG
rnacentral:rRNA from 1 species